UCGGCGCCGCGGCCUGCUGCGGGGCGGACCCGGUGUUGCCGCCACCGCAGGCGGACAGGAGCCCGCCGACGCCGAUCGCCGCGGCGAGCACCAGG
rnacentral:tRNA from 1 species